rnacentral:lncRNA from 1 species
AGACCAUUUUCGGAGUGUUUUUCUUUUACUCCUGGCCCAAGUUGGUAGGACGACAUGCAGCUGGAACAGUUGUUGGACUAAAUAGUUGGAAAGCAUUAUUUCCUCGACUGUUUUUUUUUCUGUCCAUCAUGGUCCAUGAAAUGUCGGCAAGGAUAGCUAAUUCUUUUCGCCCAUGAUAGCGCUUGUUGGACCAAAUCUGCUGUCCAAAUCAGCAAUGCUCUUUUGGAAACACACGAUUACUCAUGUAGGACCGUCUUCUUUCUGAUCUCUCUCUCAUAAAAAAAUAAAAAAUGUAGGACCUCCUAUGUUUCGGCUGAUACGAAAGCUCAGUUUAGCAAUUUUUUGGCACAGGGUUGCUCUAGUUUGGGCCAAAUUUGCCGUCCCAACGCUACUACAAAACACAUCC